GGGCGAGUGCCGGAACUGGUAGACGGUCUGGACUUAAAAUCCAGUGGGAGUGUUCCUCCCGUGAGGGUUCGAGUCCCUCCUCGCCCA
rnacentral:tRNA from 1 species